GGUUAAUGUCUUCUUUUAUGGCAGAAAAGAGGGGAUCUGAUGAUAAAAAAAGUAGUGUGAAGUCCAGUAGUCGAGAAAAACAGAGUGAAGAUCCAAACACUGAAUCGAAGGAAAGUGAUACUAAGAAUGAGGUCAAUGGGACCAGUGAAGACAUUAAAUCUGAAGGUGACACUCAGUCCAAUUAAAACUGAUCUGAUAAGACCUCAGAUCAGACAGAGGUAAGUGUAUUGUUUCUCACUUUGAUUAGGGCUUUUUGUUACUGUUUGACAGUGCAGCGUAAGUAUGCACAGAUGAAGAUGGAACUAAGCCGAGUAAGAAGACAUACAAAAGCAUCUUCUGAAGGAAAAGACAGUGUAGUCCUGCAAAACAUUUUGAGGUACAUUGUUUUGUCUCAGCUAUUUUGUAGCAGACUCGUGUCCCCAUUAGUGUGCCUCUUUGGAAAUUAUUGCCCACCUUUGUAAUGUAGUCGCCAUUAAAAAGUUAAUUAUCCUUUUUUUUAGGGAUUUUGCUGUCAUUUCUUUUUUUUUUUUUUUUUUUUUUUUUUUUUAAUAAAAAGGUUGAACUGUUUUUUUAUUAUUAUUAUUAUUUUUUGGUAUUAAGUCCAUCUUGUGUUGGUACAUUGGCAGAAACAUAUGCUUUAAAAACUUAAAUAUUUCUGAGGCACAUGUUGGACUACUUUGUUUUAAUUAAACUGCUAGUAUUUCUUUGUCAAGGAUGUUUCUAGUUUUUUUGCUUUAUUGCCUUGCAUUCUAAUGCAGUUUGUUCUGUAACUCGAGAGCCAGUAGCAUUGGAUUGAUGGAAGUGUAGGGUUUAUGAAUUAUUGCAGCUGACUACCAUACCUCACACAGCGUUGGUGUUGUGAGCGGCCCAUGAAAAGCCAAAUUAAAAAUCAAGGAUUCAGUCAAACUAAGCAGGUACUCAUGCCAGGUACUCCUUUCUCUACCCACAUCCAUGUUUGAAUGCUAUUGCCUGUGAUCUUUACGCUUAACUGUUGUGUAUCUUUUUUGUUCUUUAUAAGAAGCACAGAGGGGUUUUUGUGUAUUGCGUGAAAAGUUAUAAAUCAAAUGUUAACAGAAUGGAAUUUUUUUUCAACUGUGUGUAGGGAUGCAGUGGUGCCCAGAAUUAGAUAUCUUUAAAGAAAUUUAAAUACAAUAAACACUUCAUAUUAUUCGCCUUGUUACAUUCAAUGCAAUUCUCAAGUCUUUAAGAGGUAUGUGCUUAAUAUUUCCUACUUUGUAGGAGAAUUUGCAGUCAGCCAUAGGUGUAUAGGAAUAGUUACUGGCUGAUAUGUUUAAAGCAGCAGUGAAUAGGAAGGACAGACAACUUCAAUCUGUGACAUGCAAAGAAUUGUUGAACUGUAUAGAAUGAAUUUGGGUUUUUAAAGAACUAUUAAGUUAGGUUUUGUAAGUGUUCUUAAAACCUCUAUAAACUGUUCAUUCUUUGGGCUAGUGGUGUGGGAUGAAAUAUUCCUAAUAAAAGGAAGUACCAAUUAGUUGAUUUGUUGAUGGCAUUCCUUUUCUAGGAAAGCAGUUUAGAGUUUCUGUGUGAGCUAUUCACACAUAGGCAUGCAUACACAGGCACAUGGCUUUAAGAACCACACUGAUGCCUUAACUGUUAAAAAGAUACAAACAUUUCAUAUACACGUUUAAUAUAAUUAGCAGUUAGUGACUGGGCCAACACUUUGUCAUAAAAAUUUGCCUUUUAUAUGCUGUCUAAUUAUCAUUUUUCCCCAAAUUUUGCAUUGUAGGACUACUGUUCGAAGAUUUUUUGAAGAAUACUGAAAACGGCAUAAAGUGAAGAUCGGCAUUAAAAUGAGGUGAAAGAAAGCUAUAGUGGCAUAGAAAAAGUAUAAAAAGCUCAGUUAGUGUUUUUUUUUUAUUUUAUUUUAAUUAAAAAUUAAUUCAGGACUGAUGUGACCUUCCAGAUUUCAGAACAUGUGUUAAUAGCAUAUAUGCCACUGAAAAUUUAGGUCCUGUAUCAUAAUUUUUCUUUAAGACUUUUUAAGAUAUUACCUAAACAUGUGGCUUGCUCAGUGUUUAAUUGCAAGUUUUCAUUCUUGGACUUUGAAAACAGGAUUAAACGUUAGUAUUCGUGUGAAUCAGACUAAGUGGGAUUCCAUUUUUACAACUCUGCUAUACU
rnacentral:lncRNA from 1 species